UUUCCGUAGGUGAACCUGCGGAAGGAUCAUUAUUGUAUAACCGAGGUGCGAGGGCUGUCGCUGACCCGAAAGGUCGUGCACGCCCGAGUGCCCUCACACACAUCCAUCUCACCCCUAUGGGCACCACCGCGUGGGUCCCCCUUUGGCUUGUUCGGAGGGGGGCUUACGUGUUCACACAAACUUUGUAUGCAGUGUAGAAUGUAUUUUUUGUUUUUGCGAUCACGCAAUCAAUACAACUUUCAACAACGGAUCUCUUGGCUCUC
rnacentral:misc_RNA from 1 species